UUUAUCUUUGUAUUACAAGCUAACUUACUUCACUUAGUGGUAUGCUAGCAGCUAGUAGCUAGCAUACCGCUGGUUAGCAACAUCGAGCUAGAAAAUUUAUGGGCAUCUUUUCCAAACUCCAGAGCUUUUCCGAUGAAAGGAAUCCAGCCAUUUAUCAGCGGAGGCUCGCCGUCUCUCCUGCACAACAGACAAAAGACAAAUCCAUUUCACAAAAAGCAAAACCUAAACAGAGACCUGCCAUCCGAAAAACAGAUCAAACUUCUACUUCUGCUGUGAUGUACCUCAACAUCUACUGAUGGACAUUCACGGUUCCCAGAGGACGAAUCUCUCUGACUUUGAGGAUCCUCUUUGAGUUUUCAUCUGGCGCCAUCGUCUGGUCAAAACUUCAAUCAGCGUUCAGCUAGGAACUGGACUCAAAGAUAGCGCCCAUUCUAGCCAAUAGCCAGUAAAGUGUUGUGCAGCGUCAUGUUUUUCCCUCCGACUGCGUCCACCAGUUCCUGCUCAGCCCACAGACUUUACAUUCAGAUGUCGCAAACUUAAAAAAACACUUUUGAUCAAUAUAAAACCUUCCUGGUUUAACAGACAUCUCCUCUAUAACGGAGCCUGUAGACAUUUAGUCUUGUUACAUUUCUAUAAUGUUAGAAUAAGUUGAUAUUUUUUCUUUAUGAUUUUCUCAACAAGCGUGUGUUUUUUUCUUUUUGUCACCUAGUUUUUAUUAGAUUUAUAUGAAAUAUUUGACUUUAAGACUAUGUGUGAUGUAUUCAAGUAUUUUUUGUACCCAGGUGUUGUCAUGUUUGUCCUGUUGAAACAGCACUUUAUGUGUCAGUCGCAGGGUUGUUUAGAAAUAAGAAGGUUGCAUCAGAGAGAGAGAUUAGGGAGUAACUCACUGGAAAACUUUUUUCUUCAAUAAACAAGAUUCAACAUGUAAAUCGGACUGACUCAGUAGAUGAAUGUUACUGUUAUCUAUGUACAGCCCAGUUUCACUGCUCUCAGUCUUUGUAUGUCAAACACAAAGGAAUGCAAUAAUCAGCCUGUUGCUUCCUACUGAGAGCUGAUGGUUUGUUCCCUGGAGGAGGGCACUGAUCUCAGUCCAACUAAAAA